UGGGGAAUUUUGGACAAUGGGGGAAACCCUGAUCCAGCCAUCCCGCGUGUGCGACGAAGGCCUUCGGGUUGUAAAGCACUUUUGGCAGGAAAGAAACGUCGCGGGUUAAUACCCCGCGAAACUGACGGUACCUGCAGAAUAAGCACCGGCUAACUACGUGCCAGCAGCCGCGGUAAUACGUAGGGUGCAAGCGUUAAUCGGAAUUACUGGGCGUAAAGCGUGCGCAGGCGGUUCGGAAAGAAAGAUGUGAAAUCCCAGAGCUUAACUUUGGAACUGCAUUUUUAACUACCGGGCUAGAGUGUGUCAGAGGGAGGUGGAAUUCCGCGUGUAGCAGUGAAAUGCGUAGAUAUGCGGAGGAACACCGAUGGCGAAGGCAGCCUCCUGGGAUAACACUGACGCUCAUGCACGAAAGCGUGGGGAGCAAACAGGAUUAGAUACCCUGGUAGUCCACGCCCUAAACGAUGUCAACUAGCUGUUGGGGCCUUCGGGCCUUGGUAGCGCAGCUAACGCGUGAAGUUGACCGCCUGGGGAGUACGGUCGCAAGAUUAAAACUCAAAUGAAUCGGGG
rnacentral:rRNA from 1 species